GGUACGGUCCAAAAAGAAGCGGCGGUAGUUGGUCUCCGUCAGAGCUCAUUUCUUUCCAGUCAGGAAGUCUCCUUCUGUCUUCUCCUCCGAGCGGCACCGACUUACUUCAGUAUGAUGACCAUGUACAAGGGCAAGCGUCGCCACAAUCGCUGCUCCUUUUGCGCUGAAAUUUCCCGCUGUUCGAUGUGCGGCCAUGUUCCCUGGUGCGUGAUGAUGCACCAAAGGGACGCGAUCUCAAAGCGAGCUUUAUCUGCACCGCCGGGUGCCUGAAGGGGCCGAGGAUUACGAGCUGAUCCAGCGUGGCUACAGAGGCAGGCUGAAAGUCUCACUCCAGUGUUUGCAGACGCUCCACUUUUUAUUAUGCCAUGAUGCUCGCUGUCAUCACACAUUAGAAAAUGGCUGCUGAACUCUAAGAGUUUUUGUGUUGCUAGGCGCUGGUUUAAUAGCCUGGUAGUUAAAGGGUUACUCUUCGGCCCAUCCAUUCCCAUUGUUGUUUUUUUUCAAAUUACCUAUUUUACUAUGUACUUGGAUUGAUCAAAAAUAAAUAUCUAAAUUAGAA